rnacentral:rRNA from 1 species
AAUGAACGUUGGCGGCAUGGAUUAGGCAUGCAAGUCGUACGAGAAGCCAAGUAGCUUGCUACGAGGCGGACAGUGGCGAAAGGGAGAGUAACGCGUAGUUACGUGCCCUCGGGACCGGGAUAGCGUCGGGAAACUGGCAGUAAUACCGGAUAAUAUCUACGGAUCAAAUGGUGUGAUUCCGCCCGAGGAUUGGACUGCGUACUAUUAGCUUGUUGGCGGGGUAAUGGCCCACCAAGGCUGUGAUGGUUACCGGGUGUGAGAGCAUGGCCCGGCUCACUGGGACUGAGACACUGCCCAGACACCUACGGGUGCUGCAGUCGAGAAUCUUCGGCAAUGGACGCAAGUCUGACCGAGCGAUGCCGCGUGCGGGAUGAA